UAAGGAAUAUUGGUCAAUGGACGCAAGUCUGAACCAGCUAUGCCGCGUGAAGGAUUAAGGUCCUCUGGAUUGUAAACUUCUUUUAUCUGGGACGAAAAAAGGUCUUUCUAGACCCCUUGACGGUACCAGAUGAAUAAGCACCGGCUAACUCCGUGCCAGCAGCCGCGGUAAUACGGAGGGUGCAAGCGUUAUCCGGAUUCACUGGGUUUAAAGGGUGCGUAGGCGGGUAGGUAAGUCAGUGGUGAAAUCCUGGAGCUCAACUCCAGAACUGCCAUUGAUACUAUCUAUCUUGAAUAUUGUGGAGGUAAGCGGAAUAUGUCAUGUAGCGGUGAAAUGCUUAGAUAUGACAUAGAACACCCAUUGCGAAGGCAGCUUACUACGCAUAUAUUGACGCUGAGGCACGAAAGCGUGGGGAUCAAACAGGAUUAGAUACCCUGGUAGUCCACGCCCUAAACGAUGGAUACUCGACAUACGCGAUACACUGUGUGUGUCUGAGCGAAAGCAUUAAGUAUCCCACCUGGGAAGUACGUUCGCAAGAAUG
rnacentral:rRNA from 1 species